AUCAUGACCUGAGCCGAAGGCAGUCACUUAACCUACUGAGCCACCCAGGUGCCCCCGGAAGAAACAUUUUUAUUUGAUCUUAUAAAACUGUAAUAUUCAUGGACAUGGGACAGCAUGAUGGAUGGAACGGAGUUAUGCCUUGCAUCCAUAGAUAGAAUGGAUGUCAAAUUUUAGUUGUAAUAAGAGUUCUCGCUCUUGUUUUAGUAAUGAUAUACAGUGUAAUUAAGUGGAUAUCCGAUCCCUUUCCUGGAAACCAAAAACCCUGUCCCACUCUUUGCGAAGCGAUUCUUACUAUUUGGACCCAAUAAAGGUAAACCAGAAAUACUGUUGUACAAUGUGACCCAACACAAACUUCAGAAGCUGCCACAUGACACGAAAUAAACCAGAGAAAAAUACAGCCCAGCUUAGCCUAGGAAGGCGUAUUUGGCCACAGCUGUGCUUCCUGAGUUUAUGUGACUUCUGCCUCAUGGAGACUUGCUGAAAAAUGUCCAGGGUCCAGAUCAGGCAGCCACUGAACUGCAUUGUGACCACAGCAUUAGAAACAACAUUCUAUUGGGCAUAUUGCCAUGUUUAGGAGCAGGAACCUGAGACAUCUGAAAAAAUAUCUUCAAAGAGAUGAAAAAUUGAGGCAGAAUAAAAAUGCUAACUUGCUGUCUUAUGCAUUUGGUUCUCCCAGCACACAUGGAUUUUGUUCCUAAGGUUAAAUUUGAGCUAUGAGAUCAACAAUUUCGUGUUAGGUUAAAAAACUGAAUUUAAAACUUACUAUGUUUUUAAUAAAAUAACAAUGAGUGAAGCAUGUAAAGGUGACCCAGCUGGGACCAUGUGCUGGGAAUCAAAACGAUGAUCUAUUUUAUGGGUUGUAGUUCUGUCUACUUCCCCAACUUUAGUGCAUAAAGCAUGUAUAAUGUCACAGUUUUGCUUCCAUAAAAGCGAAACAUAAACUCCUGUAUGUUUUUGGAAAGGGUGGAACCAGGAACUAGGACAACAGAAAAAAGUAAGUAGAGCCUUAUCGCGAAGCCAUUUGCCAAGACAACACGUCAUUUCACGUUACUGACGUCUUCGUGACGUCUGCAAAAGGUUGCAGAAUUCUCGUAAUCCACUUUAUCCUUCAUUACUGUCAACUUGAAUCCUGGAAUUAAAAUGGCAAACUUCUGCAGCUGCUCUCCUACCAGCCGCUACAGCUCCGGGUCUUUUUGCCUGUGGCCUCCUCUCCUGGUUCACAUGAAGAAAGAAGACUGCCUUUCAACCUUUGCAUAGACACCUUCCUCAGCGGGCCAAGUAGUUCUAUCCUAAGACCCAACUCCUUCUUCACUGUUGACAACCCAUAAUAAAAAGGACCUGGGAGUUGCAUGAACUCCACUACAAAUCUGAUCAAUAAGGUGGUCAGAAGUUCCCAAACGUUAAUCCCUUCCUCCUCCUGGCAGUGGUUCUUAGACUGGAGUAUGCAUCAGAAUGACCUGAUUAACCCAGGAUCUGCAGUGUUACCAAAUUGUCUGAUUGGGGGGUGGAUGGCCCAUGGACCCCAUUUUGAAAAAUGCUAUCUUUAAGUCUGGUGUUUGUGUCAUAUAUCAUGCUCAGAAUGACAUGGUGUGGGGGCAGAAUCUACAAAUGACGAUGGAGCAGCAUAACACGUAAUACAGGCAUAUAAUUACCCGGUAAUGAAUGUCCUCUCAUUAACGAAGAUCCACGAAGAGUGCUGGUCUCAACAUUUUAGGUUCCUCUCUGGAAUCCUCUGUACAAUCAUGGAAUGCUGGCUUGUUCUACUAGUCCAUCCUCAGCUAUGUCCUCUUCCGUGUUUGCCCUUUCUCCCAGACAGGACCGGACAGGAUAUGGCUCAAACAUCCAGACAUGUCACUCCCGCCAGUUCCAGUGGAACCCCGUGUGAAAUGUCACCCUUUGCUAUUCUAGUGCGUACUGACAGGGCACUAACGCAGUGGCUGGAUUCUCCCCAGAGCGUCCUCAGGGCACAGAAGCUGUGGCAGAAGCACUCGAGCUUGCAGCCACCUCAGGACUCGAGGCACCUGGCCACCACUCAGUCUGGGAGGGAGCUGCUCAGUCUGCCAAAGGCAUCUUCUGGAGCUGCUGCUGUGGUCUAGCCCAAGGAUUCUCUGCUUCAUCUAGUUUCCAAGAGGAAAUUCUCAGCUUGACUUCCCAGGGACUGUGAAUCAUUCUUCUUGUUUGUGUGUUGGCUGCAGAGGGAGCACUUUCUGCUUUUGACCCCAUUUGCCAGGCUCCAGGAUGAUGACAGAGAAUUGGUCCUUCAGUCAUCCCGGCGACUAAGAUUGCACUGUCAUCACUUAAAAAGGAGACACCUUCACAUUCAACUACUGAAAGCAGUAGCAUUAGUCCGCUACUUGAACUGAGGUUAUGAAGUGAUGAAAUCAUUAUAUCUGAUAGCUUUGAAAGACAUAGAUGGAUUUCUGCAACAAAACCUAACUCUCUCUAACACUAGACUUCAGGGCAAAGAGAGAAUACGCAGAAAUUCUUUCUCAGAGGUUGUAUUUCUGAUUGACCUACAUUUAAAAAUUUUUUAAAAAUCUAAACUUUUAAAACAAAUAUUUAAUUCCAGCAUAGUUAAUAUAUGGUGUAAUAUUAGUUUCAGGUGUACAAUAUAGUGACUGAACAUUUCCAUACA